GGGGUCGUGGCCUAGUCCGGCAUGGCGACGGGCUCCAGCGGUCUUUGCGUAUGAUGAACAAUGGGUCUGCUGAAGGGAAACCUAGUGAUGAUCCGUUGGAGCGCUGAUGCAAAACCUUGAUUUCUCUUAAUCGCGCUCAAACGCAUGUUCGGAGAGACCCGUCGAUCGUGAGUUCAAAUCUCACCGACCCCA
rnacentral:tRNA from 1 species